rnacentral:rRNA from 1 species
UACGAAAGGGGCUAGCGUUGCUCGGAAUUACUGGGCGUAAAGCGCACGUAGGCGGCUCUUUAAGUCGGGGGUGAAAUCCUGGAGCUCAACUCCAGAACUGCCUUCGAUACUGUAGAGCUUGAGUUCGGGAGAGGUGAGUGGAACUGCGAGUGUAGAGGUGAAAUUCGUAGAUAUUCGCAAGAACACCAGUGGCGAAGGCGGCUCACUGGCCCGAUACUGACGCUGAGGUGCGAAAGCGUGGGGAGCAAACAGG